rnacentral:rRNA from 1 species
GUGCCAGCAGCAGCGGUAAUACGUAGGGUGCGAGCGUUAUCCGGAAUUAUCGGGCGUAAAGAGCUCGUAGGCGGUUUGUCACCUCUGCUGUGAAAGCCUCAGGCUUAACCUGGGGUGUGCAGUGGGUACGGGCAGGCUGGAGUGCAGUAGGGGAGACUGGAAUUCCUGGUGUAGCGGUGAAAUGCGCAGAUAUCAGGAGGAACACCGAUGGCGAAGGCAGGUCUCUGGGCUGUUACUGACGCUGAGGAGCGAAAGCAUGGGGAGCGAACAGGAUUAGAAACCCUCGUAGUCC